GAUGAACGCUAGCGGCAGGCUUAACACAUGCAAGUCGAGGGGUAACAGGGAAGCUUGCUUCUGCUGACGACCGGCGCACGGGUGCGUAACGCGUAUACAAUCUACCUUAUACUGGAGGAUAGCCCUAAGAAAUUGGGAUUAAUACUCCAUAGUAUUAUAUUUUCGCAUGAUUAUAUAAUUAAAGUUCCGGCGGUAUAAGAUGAGUAUGCGUGAUAUUAGUUAGUUGGUGAGGUAACGGCUCACCAAGACUUCGAUAUCUAGGGGGUCUGAGAGGACUAUCCCCCACACUGGUACUGAGACACGGACCAGACUCCUACGGGAGGCAGCAGUGAGGAAUAUUGGUCAAUGGAGGCAACUCUGAACCAGCCAUGCCGCGUGAAGGAAGAAUGCCCUAUGGGUUGUAAACUUCUUUUAUUUGGGAAGAAACCUUUCUACGUGUAGAAAGCUGACGGUACCAAACGAAUAAGGACCGGCUAACUCCG
rnacentral:rRNA from 1 species